GAGAAGACAGUCGGUGGUCCUCAGAGUCUGAUGGGAUUCAGUUGGGUCCUGGAUCCCCAUUGUUGAGUGUAAAUGCACACAGUAGGAACAUUCUAAUGAGUACCUUGCCAUUACUCUGACAGAUUAAACAGACCAUCAAUAACGGGAAUGACAAGAGCAGAUGUUUAGUGGCUACAGGUAAACAGUUUAUAUCAUCCCUUUAGGUUGACCGUAAAGUAAGGAACAGUGGGCUAGAAACCAUGCCCAGGAGUGCUUGGAGCGUGGCCUUCCGUAAAAUCUGGAUGGAUGUUUCAGUUUCUAUAUCUGCCCAGAACAGCGACAGAGAGAAACAGUCAUAGGCUUCGACAUCUAUACAUUUUCCAGGAUCCUGCUGUAAAGCCAGGGCUGACAGACCCCUUCACUGUAGCCCCAGAAGCAUGAGGACCA
rnacentral:lncRNA from 1 species